rnacentral:rRNA from 1 species
UAAGGAAUAUUGGUCAAUGGGCGGAAGCCUGAACCAGCCAUGCCGCGUGCAGGAUGACUGCCCUAUGGGUUGUAAACUGCUUUUGUCCAGGAAUAAACCUAAAUACGCGUAUUUAGCUGAAUGUACUGGAAGAAUAAGGAUCGGCUAACUCCGUGCCAGCAGCCGCGGUAAUACGGAGGAUCCGAGCGUUAUCCGGAUUUAUUGGGUUUAAAGGGUGCGUAGGCGGCCUAUUAAGUCAGGGGUGAAAUACGGUGGCUCAACCAUCGCAGUGCCUUUGAUACUGAUGGGCUUGAAUCCAUUUGAAGUGGGCGGAAUAAGACAAGUAGCGGUGAAUGCAUAGAUAUGUCUUAGAACUCCGAUUGCGAAGGCAGCUCACUAAGCUGGUAUUGACGCUGAUGCACGAAAGCGUGGGAUCGAACAGGAUUA